UGCAUACAUGAUGAGCACUAAGGGACUUAAUACUGAAGUAUGUGAUGUCACUUAUUUAUAACUCUGAUGUGC